rnacentral:rRNA from 1 species
GUGGAUUAGAUACCCUGGUAGUCCACGCCGUAAACGAUGUCAACUAGCCGUUGGGAGCGUAAUGCUCUGAGUGGCGCAGCUAACGCACUAAGUUGACCGCCUGGGGAGUACGGUCGCAAGAUUAAAACUCAAAUGAAUUGACGGGGGCCCGCACAAGCGGUGGAGCAUGUGGUUUAAUUCGACGCAACGCGAAGAACCUUACCUGGUCUUGACAUCCAGAGAAUCCUGCAGAGAUGCGGGAGUGCCUUCGGGAACUCUGAGACAGGUGCUGCAUGGCUGUCGACAACU